rnacentral:tRNA from 1 species
UGUUCUGUGGCUUAGUUGGUUAAAGCGCCGGUCUAGCGAAUACGGAGUCGUGGGUUUGUAUCCCACCAGAACGC